AGUUUAGUGGCGACCGGGUGAGUAACACGUGACUAACCUGCCCUUGAGACUGGGAUAACUUCGGGAAACCGGAGCUAGUACCGGAUAAUUCUUUUCCUCUGGAGGAAAAAGCUGAAAGACGCUCCAUUAGCUUACGGACAGAGUCGCGCGCGAUUAACUAGUUGGUUGGUGAGGUAACGGCUCACCAUUUCUUCGAUGCGCAGCCGACCUGAGAGGGUGAUCGCACUGACUGGGACUGACGCACGGGACACACACCUACGGGAGGUUUUGGAAAUUUAGCGCCCACAAGAUAAGAAAGUGUGACGGAGGUGAGGAGGGCCUUCGAUUCCCUUGGCUCUUUCGUCAAGUUCGACAGUUUGGCCUCUCCACAGGUUGUGAUUGACGCCCCCCUUGGUGGGACGUAAGCAUUCGUACUCGUCAGAAGCCGUGACAAUAAUACGGU
rnacentral:rRNA from 1 species